GACGAACGCUGGCGGCGUGCUUAACACAUGCAAGUCGAACGGAAAGGCCCUGCUUGCAGGGUACUCGAGUGGCGAACGGGUGAGUAACACGUGGGUGAUCUGCCCUGCACUUCGGGAUAAGCCUGGGAAACUGGGUCUAAUACCGGAUAGGAGCCAUUUUUAGUGUGAUGGUUGGAAAGUUUUUUCGGUGUAGGAUGAGCUCGCGGCCUAUCAGCUUGUUGGUGGGGUAAUGGCCUACCAAGGCGGCGACGGGUAGCCGGCCUGAGAGGGUGGACGGCCACAUUGGGACUGAGAUACGGCCCAGACUCCUACGGGAGGCAGCAGUGGGGAAUAUUGCACAAUGAGCGCAAGCCUGAUGCAGCGACGCCGCGUGGGGGAUGACGGCCUUCGGGUUGUAAACUCCUUUCGCUAGGGACGAAGCUUUUUGUGACGGUACCUAGAUAAGAAGCACCGGCUAACUACGUG
rnacentral:rRNA from 1 species